ensembl:snRNA U2 U2 spliceosomal RNA
AUGUUUUCCAGACUGUUGUAAUGAAUGGAUUGGUAAAAAAAAAAAAAAAAAUCUGUUCUUAUCAGUUUAAUAUCUGAUACGUCCCCCAUCCGGGGACUACAUAUUAAAUGGAUUUUUAGAUCACGGAGAUGGAGCCGGGGCUUGCUCCGUCCACUCCAUGCAUCGGCCUGGUAUUGCAGUGUCUCCAGGAACGGUGUGCUUUCC